AUAGCGUAUAUUAAAGUUGUUGCAGUUAAAAAGCUCGUAGUUGAACUUCAGGCCUGGCUGGGUGGUCUGCUUAACGGCAUGUACUGUCUGGCUGGGUCUUACCUCUUGGUGAGCCGGUGUGCCCUUUAUUGGUGUGCAUUGGGGAACCAGGACUUUUACCUUGAGAAAAUUAGAGUGUUCAAAGCAGGCUUAUGCCCGAAUACAUUAGCAUGGAAUAAUAAAAUAGGACGUGCGGUUCUAUUUUGUUGGUUUCUAGAGUCGCCGUAAUGAUUAAUAGGGAUAGUUGGGGGCAUUAGUAUUCAGUUGCUAGAGGUGAAAUUCUUGGAUUUACUGAAGACUAACUACUG
rnacentral:rRNA from 1 species